UGCCAGCAGCCGCGGUAAGACGGAGGGUGCAAACGUUGUUCGGAAUCACUGGGCAUAAAGCGCACGUAGGCGGUCCGCUAAGUCAGAUGUGAAAUUCCUCGGCUCAACCGAGGAACUGCACCUGAUACUGACGGACUCGAGGACGGUAGGGGUGAGUGGAACUCCAGGUGGAGCGGUGAAAUGCGUAGAUAUCUGGAGGAACACCGGUGGCGAAGGCGACUCACUGGACCGUAUCUGACGCUGAGGCGCGAAAGCUAGGGUAGCGAACGGGAUUAGAUA
rnacentral:rRNA from 1 species